CUGUGUUUUUUUCCGUUCCUCAUUAGCUCACCUGAUCGAUUCACCAUGUUCUGGCUUCCCAAUCUCAUCCUUCUAGCCUUGUGGUGCUCAGGUUCAGACUCUCAGCCUGUACUCACUCAGCCCUCAUCAGCAUCAAUGUCACUAGGACAGACAGUGAAGCUCUCCUGUGUCAUGAGAACGGGACUCAGCAUCAGUGGCUACUAUGUGUACUGGUACCAACAAAAGCCUGGGAACCCCCCAAGAUAUCUCCUUUAUUAUCGUUCAGAUUCCAACAAGGGCCAGGGCUCUGGAGUCCCGUCCCGCUUCUCUGGGUCCAAAGACACAUCAGCAAACACUGGCUAUUUAACCAUUGCGGGAGCCCUGGCAGAGGACGAGGCUGAUUAUUACUGUGCAGUGUGGCAUAGCGAUGCGUUUCACAGUGAUGCAGUUGAAUGGAGAAGCCAGACAAAAACCUCUUCUUGUCCUUGAUGCAGAACAAUGAAGCUUUGCAAGGU